rnacentral:lncRNA from 1 species
AGUAACUGCAGGAGCAGUGCUCUCUUUCCACUGCAGUUGCUGAGAAGUUACGAUGCUGAGCUGGAGCAGCCGCUGGCCACCUUCAUACGAGUGAACAUCUACCCUAAAAUAUAGCCAACUCAGGGGAAUGCACAGUUUAAAAAUAGAGAAAAAGAGCCACAUGGUGACAUCCUUUGAGUUCCUGGAUCCAGCCACACCCAAAGCAAAAAUCCCCAUCCUGCUUCAAGUCUGUGAUUCAAUGAAACACUUGGUUGGAUUAAACCAACUGGGGUAGGAUUUUCUGUCACUUGCAACCACAGAAUCCUGAUGGAUACAAGACACUCUUUCUCAUAGAGCCUCUCUUGAAGCUGCUAUUUGAUUACUGCAUGGUCUUCUAAAUAGUAAAUAUAAAAUAUCACACUUGGAAAGAACCCAACUUUUAGGCCUUUGGUGGGUAGAUUUUUUCCUGAGGAUUCAAGUCAGCAGCCUAGAGACCAUCGUGUGUCAAGGUCUUAACCUCAGACACUCGCUCUUCUUUGUUACUUUAAAGCUGUCUAAUGUAGAAACCCCUGAGAUGCUGCUCCAUAGACAUGAGAAGACAGAGUCCUCGGGCCCUGCGCAAGGUCUGAGGCCCAUCACCAGCUCAGCUUCUGCCCUUUUGCAAAACACUGGUCUUUUUGUCUCUGAUGAUGUGAGUCCAUUGCUCACAUAUCUGGCUGUUUCAUCCAAAAAAAAAUAUUUUACUUUUGGCUUAAAAGCCCAUCUCAACAUAAACAUCGGAGCUCCCGAAUGUUGCUCUAACAGCUUGACAACUCUGUAGGUGUAGAGCUGGCUGCCCGCCAAUCCAAAUUUUUCUGCUUCUUUCUUUUAAUAUAAACAGAGCCUUUGAAGAACUGUGGAUUCAUUGAAUGAACAAAUGAACUUGUUUACAUAAAACAUGCAGGAGGAAAUUUCCACUGUGCUUCAACAUAUAAUUUCAGUCUGUUUUUGGAUGGGCUGGUGCAUUAUGGAGAUUGUUUUUCUAGACCAGGAUGCUGUCCUCCAUAUGGUGGCCUCAUUGUUCACUCCAGUCGUUCCUCUGUUCUCUAGGUUGGCCCCAUUCUCAGCUGGCAGGAAUGAAAGACAUGAUGAGCAGCAACCUCAGGCCGCUAUCCUGCCCUCACAGUGACUGUGAGAUCAGGAGAGGCCUCAGUCCCUGUUGUGCCAGCAGCGAUCCGGGAUCGGCUCUGACUAGACCAACCAGGGUUGCAUCUUCAGCCCCAUCCCCACCCCUACCAGUGACUGAGGCUGGACAAUGGAAGGGCCAGGUCUGGGUCACGUGGCCAACCCUGGAUCCACCCAAAGCACAGGGAUUGAGUUUGUGAGCCAAGAACACCUGGGGCCAGAGAAUGGGGGAAUGGCUGCUGAACAAUCAGAAAGACCCAGCGUCCACCACACAAGCCGACAACCCCAUUGCAAAAAUGUCUAUUUCUAGUACAAAUGCCCCCAAGGGCACCCCUUUCCCUGUCAAUGAAAUGUGAUUUGAAUUCAUUUCUUACACCAAAUACAUGGAGACGGCGCAAGGCUCAUUAAGAAGAAGGAUGAGCAAGUGCACACGCUGGAUUUUAAUGGUUUAAAACUAUGUUGCCUCUGUCUGUUUAAGAAUUACUAUUCCUCAAAGAAUUCAGCUCCAUACGAUAAGUGUUAAUGCUUUAUUUCUUGGGGAAGUCUGCAGUCUGGAGUUGGAAUUGAUUGUGAACAGAAUAAAAUAAUUUGCUUUUUAUCAGCAUCCUCCAUGGAAACUUGUUUGCAGCCAGUCUGGGCCUCGGAGGAAAAUGCAUUUAGCUUUACCUCCCUAAUCCCUCUGUAAGGCGCCUAAAUCACCACCCAUCACUCAGCACCACUCAGCCUGAAAUGACCGUUGCUCAGUAAUCAUAAAAACAGAAUUACGGUCGCUGUCACCUCCUGCUGAUGGCUUCUUUAGGGCCAGAUGAGAGCAGGACUUAAGAGUCAGCGAUCGCAGGGAGCCACAAGCGCCCGCGGCUCUGCCAAGCACGGCUGUGCCCACGGAAGGGCCUUGCGUCCCCUAAAUCAGCGCUGGCCAUUCUUGUGUUCUUGACUCCCAAAGUCAGAAUUAAUGACCCUCUCCUUUACCGUGGAGGUGGUAGCUGACUGCUGAUUUACAGACUACUGAUGAGUUUCAUUUUGCUUUUAAAAAAUAUAUCAAUCACCAAAUCUGAUCGUUGGGAAUUUCCACAUAAAAGCCUGGAUUUUACUCCCUUUUUGGAAAAUAGGGAGAGUUGAAACCGCUGCAUUUGGGUGGUGCUGAGGAACGACAUCCCACCUCCCUCUCCAGUUCACCCGAGCCCUGGCCACUUUCUGGAGGCCCCUUCACUCUUUAUGUCACCUGCCUGGCCCCAGGCCACCUACAUCUGAGACCCUAGCCCACAGUGGUGCAGGUGGGUUGGAGCUCAGACUCUAUAGACGGAAGACUUACUGGCUUCCACUGCCAGCUCUGACCUGUCCUCGCUGGAUGUCUUGAAGCAAUGACUUGGUUUUGCAUGUGCAUCAGUUUCCUUAUCUGUAAAAUGGGUACAGUCAUAGCAUCGGUUGAUAUGCAAAGCAAAUGAGUUAACGAACAUGCAAGGCAACGGGAACCUCUCCCGGCACGCAGAAGAGCUGUGCUCGGAUAAGCUGCUACUGUCAUGCUCCUGCCUUCCUUUGCCCUCAUGGCAUUCUCUGCCCCAUCUUGGAUAUGGAGUGCAUGGAACUGUGGCCCCCAAGAAGAUAUGACCAAGGCCUCCACCUCUGGUGCCUGUGAAUGGGACCUUAUUUAGAAAAUGAGUCUUUGCAGACAUAAUGAAGUGAAGACUCUUGAGGGAGACUAUCCUGGAUUAAUCGGGUAGGUCCUACAACCAUGACAAGUGCUUUUAUGAGACAGAAGAGGGAGACACAGACACAGAGGGGAAGACCUGUGAAAAUGAAGGAUGGGACUCAACUGAGGCCACCACAAGCCGAGAACACCUGGGGCUGCCCAAAGCUGAGAGAGGCUGUGAAGGCAUCUCCCUGAGAGACACUGGAUGAAGCGAGGCCCUGCAGACUCCGCGAUUUCAGACUCCUGUCUUCAGAACUGUGAGAGAAUAAAUUCCUAUUGUUGUAAGCCCCGAAGUUUGCAGUGAUUUGUCACAGCAGCCACAGGACACUA